ensembl:lncRNA
UUGAGAUAAUCAUGUGUUUGUCUUUUAUUCCUUUAAUAUGGUAUAUUAUAUUUAUUGAAUUUUGAAUAUUAAGCCAACCUUGUAUGCUUGAAUUAAAUCCCAUUUGGUCAUGGUUUUUUUUUUAAUGUUACUAGAUUUGAUUUGCUAGUUUCUGUUGAGUUUUGCAUCUAUAUUCAUCUAUAUUCAUUCAUCUAUAUUCAUGAGGGAUACUGAUUCCUAGUUUCCUUUUCAUGUUACUUCUUUGGCUGUUUCAAUAUCAGGCUAACACUGAGCUCUCAAAAUGAGUCUGAGAGUGUCCCCUCUUCUUUUUUUUUCUGAAAGAAUUUGUGUAGGAUUGGUAUUGUCUCAUCAUUAAAUUUUUCAUAGAAGUCAGUGUCAGCAUCCCACAAAUGCUGAUUCUUUGUGGGAAGAUUUUAAAUUAUUAAUUCACUGUUCUUAGUUAAUGCAGGUCUAUUCAGAUUUUCUAUUUUCUCUCAAGUCAGUUUUGAUAAUGCAUAUGUGUGUGUGUUUUAGGAAUGUGUCCAGGUCAUCUAGAUUAUCUAUUUUGUUGGAAUACGUAGUCCUGCUUGAAUUAGGCUGUAACAGGUUUUCAUUGGCUUAAAUCACAAGGACAUGAUAGUACUAAGACAUGCCAUAAGGAAUCUUCUGUAUUCUGGUAGUAUUCUUCCUCACUUUCAUUGUGUAGCAGCAGUCCAAUUUCCCAUUGGUAACCUGAAUUAAUCACCUUCACCCUCUGUGGACUUACAGAAUACCUUAUCCACCCUUUUUAGCCUGUUGAUUCAGUUAUGAGGAGACCAACGUGGCUGGGUGGCAGUCUUAACUUCCAGUUCAGUAGAAUCCCUUUCUGUGUCUCCUGGUAGAUGCAUUUCCCCCACCUUGAAACCAAGGCUUCUAGAACCAGGAGAGAAUUAGGUUGUGAGGUCAGGAAGCAAAAAUUUUGCUGGUGGAUCACUAGCAAUAAUAGUAAAUAGAGCUAUUGCCACUUCUUGAAUCCUGGACCUUGAAUCCCAGAUAUGGGAGAAAUUGUAGCAUGUACUGGAUGCUGAUUCAAGCUGGAAAACCUUGCCCCAGCCACCCAUCUGGUGCUGUGAUCAGUCUUUAAAAGGUCAAGCCAGCUGCUUCAUGAUGGUGGGGAACAUGGUAAGACUGAUUAAUUCCAUAAGCAUAGGUUCAUUGUUGUACUUCAUUGGCUGGUCAGAAACAGUGCUGUGUGGCAUACCAUGAUGGUGGACGAGGUAUUCUAUAAGCCCGCAGAUGGUAGUUCAGGAAGAAGCAUUGUGGGCAGGGACUGCAAAUCCCACUCUAGAGUGUCUGUUUCAGUAAAAACAAAAUACUAUCACUUCCAUAAUGGAUCCAAUAUAAUAAACCUGCCACCAGGUAGUUGGCUGACCACCCGGGAAUGGUACCAUAUCUGGGACUCUGUGUUGAUCUUCACUGCUGACAGUUUGGGCACUUAGCAGUAGCUGAAGCCAGGUUAUUUUCCACGGUGAACAGAAGUCUGUGUUGCCCAGCCCAUGUAUAACUUCCAUUUCAGUGGCACAAUCGGUUAGUAUGUUCAGCUGUCGACCGAAAGGUUGGUGAUUCAAGCCCACCCAGGGAUGCCUUGCUCUUGCCUUUUGGGCUUCCCAGGUGGCUCAGUGGUAAAGAAUCUGCAUGCAAUGCAGGAGACUUGGCUUCAAUCCCUGGGUUGGGAAGAUCCCCUGAAGAAGGAAAUGGCAACUCACUCCAGUGUUCUUGCCUGGAGAAUCCCAUGGACAGAGGAGUUUGGCAGGCUACAGGCCCUGGGAUCCCAAAGAAUCAGACACGACUGAGCAACUGAACAUGCUGCCCCCAUAGCCACAUUGUUCAUGAGCUUACUGGCUGGGGAAAAAGGCUGACUGGGUGUCCACAAAAUGGGUCAUCCUACCGAUUUCAUGAUUAAAGUCUUCUUCCACUAGGGUUACUCUUUAGUAACUGUUGUUGUUUUGUUUAGAUGCUGUUAUGUCCAGCUCUUUCCCAACCUCUUAGACUGUAGCCCACCAGGCUCCUCUGUCCAUGGGGAUUCUCCAGGCAAGAAUACUAGAGUGGGUUGCCAUGCCCUCCUCCAGGGAAUCUUCCCAACCCAGGGAUCAAACCCAGGUCUCCCACAUUGCAAGUGGAUUGUUGACCAUCUGAGCCACCAGGGGAAGCCCGAGAAUACUGGGGGAGGGUAGCCUAUUCCUUCUCCAGGAGAACAUCCUGACCCAGAAAUCAAGCCAGAGUCUUCUGUAUUGCAGGUGGGUUCUUAACCAGCUGAGCUACCAGGGAAGCCUGUUUCCUACCUUCCUGCCCAUCAAAGAAACUCUUCCUGCCCCAACCUCUAGAAGAGAGAUUUCUAGUGCUCUGGAAUUGAUGUCUGCUUUCUGCUUUGCCGGAAUCCCCUUUCAAGAAAUGACAAAACUUGGUUUCCUGACUGAAAUGAGAGUAGGGGAGAAUAGGGGGACCGUGAACACAGUUUAAAGUUUAUCUUAUUACUCUGUUGUGAGGGCGAGAUACCAAAUUUGCUGAAGAUGGAGAGAAAGGCUUCCUGACAUUUCUAGAGAACUUUUAAUUUCUCCAUAUACGUAAGGCACGAUAGAUUUUCCCAACAUCUGGACACUGUUCCUUCCUUUACAUCCUCCACCCCUAGCCAUGGAGAUCAUGUUUGGGAAGUCUGAUAGCUUCUGGUGAUAAACCUUGUAUGUGAACUGUGGGGACGACUGACAUCUAAAGUAAAUAGUGGUUGCUGGGGGAGGGCUGCAUGGGCGGCAUGCUGUCUGCCCUUCAGAUGCUUGACUGCCUCCUUGACGCCACUGCUGGCUGUGGAUUCGCCAAUAAUUCUGCUGCAAGGGUGGCCCAGGUCUCUAGGGGAGCAUCUAGUGCCUCAUCUCUCUCAGCCAGGACCCGAGGACCUCUGCCUUUCCCAUGGGGGAUCAAGCCUCCUCUCCCCAUAUCAGGAUGAUGGCCAAAAAGUGCCAGGGUACUGCGUGUUCCUGCCUUUGGAAUCUCCAUCUCAGCCCUGCACUGCAGGCUUUGAUUCCUGGAGAGCAGAAGGCAGAAGAAGGGGAUUCUCUGCAGCAGCCUGAACAGGGGAAAGGGCUCAGCGGUGGUGCUUGCAGCUGCCCAGGUGCUCCUUAUUCAUUCAUUCUUCCACAGUUUUGCUUUUGGCAUGUCCUCUGCAUGGAGCAUCUUACCUUACUGUCUCCUUCUCUCCUGGUGAAAUUCCGACUUACUCUUUUUACUUAUUUAAAAAUUUUUUUAUUUUUAAUGGGAGGAUAAUUGCUG